GGAUCCAGGACCGGAAAGGCCAGCUUCUCCCUCAUUUUGAAAUCAGCUUUCUCCACCUGCACCACUGCAUAGCACAGAUACAGAAGCCAUCCUGUUGCAGGAUUUGAAUGCAAAACUUAUCUUCUUACUCUAAAGAUGAAUGAUCAGGGAGAGGUUUAUUCAACCCUGAGAUUUUUGCAGCCUCCUUCAGAGUCGCAGAAUAGAUUAAGGCCUGAUGAUACUCAAAGGCCUGGGAAAACUGAUGACAAAGAGUUUUCAGUGCCCUGGCGUCUCAUUGCAGUGACUCUUGGGAUCCUCUGUUUAUUUCUUCUGAUGAUAGUCACAGUGUUGGUGACAAAGAUCUUUCAGUGUGUUCAAGAAAAACAUGAACAGCAGGAAAUUCUAAGAAACUGUAGUGAAAAGUACAUCAUGCAAAAUGAUAACUACUUAAAAGAGCAGCUUUUGACAAAUAAGACUUUAAAAUAUGACAUUCUCAAAAAAGACAGCUUUCUGCAGAAAAAGGAACUGGAUUCACUCCUCAUGCUAAAGAGCAGAUGUCAUAGAGAAAAUGAGAUCGUUUUAAAAUUUUUGCAAAAUACAGGCAAAUUCUCUGAAGACCACUGGUCCUGUUGUGGAGUAAACUGUUAUUAUUUUACCAUGCAGAAGAAAGACUGGAAGGGAUGUAAACAAACUUGUCAACAUUGUAGAUCAUCUCUUUUGAAGAUAGAUGACAAAGAUGAACUGGCCUUCAUUCAAUCUCAGAUUUAUGAAAAUAAUUACUGGAUUGGAUUAUCAUAUGAUAAAAGGGAAAGUAAGUGGAAGUGGAUUGAUAAUGGCACAUCUCCUGGAAUUAAUUCUACAAUAAUGCGUUCUUCUUCUGGGAGAGGAGAAUGUGCAUUUUUGACCUCAACAAGAAUGGCAACUAUUGAUUGCAUUCAAAAGUACAAUUGUAUCUGUGAGAAGAGAACUGACUCUAUUUUCUCUGAUUCAGUGUGCGCUAAGAAGAAAAGGUGAAAAUGAAAUGUUUUCUUUUUUUGUUUCCUAUAAUAAUUUGUGACUAUAAAUCAUUGCUUUUAACUACAGGACUUAGUUAAUUCUUGAAAAAAUAAAGAUGAACAGGAAGAAAAAGAAAAUUCUUUUGGACUAUGACUUUAACGAUCAGAUGCCGUCUUUCUUCCUGGAAAAGAGGAGAUUUUCUCUUUUGAGAGUGGUUAUUCCUUCCUUUAAUGUCCCUGAGGAAUUAUUCAUUCUUUCUAAAUUCUUGGAACUACCUAUAGAACCAGUUAGAGAACUCUGAUAUUAUAUCCUGGGUCUUUUUCUUAUCAAUAGGAUAAAUUAUUUCAGCAUCUUCUGGUUUUGAUAAGCAGUUGUGAACUACAAUAUAGUUAUUUUUUUCUUCCCAUCUAGAAGUUACCUCAUCUUUUAAAACGUUUGUUUUGCUAUAAAAUAUAACUUGAAACUUACUGAAAGUUGCAAGACUAGUACAAGGAACUUCUAUAUAAUCUUUACUCAUACUUACUAGUUGUUUAUAUUUUGCUCUGCUUUAUAUUUGUCUCUCUUUCUAUCCUCCACUUAAUAAUAAGUUGAGGCCUUCAUGCCCCUUUGUCUAAAUAUUUUCCAAGAUCAAGGACUUUGUUUUAUAUAAUCACAGUGCAAUUAUCAAACUCAGAAAAUUUAGCAUUAUUACAGUACGAUGAUCUAAUCUGUAAUCCAUGUUCAAAUUUUGUCAAUUGUCCCAAUAAUGUCAUUUAUAUGUAUUUUUAAAAACUCCAUGUUCAGGAUAAUGCAGUGCAUUUGAUUGUAAUGUCUCUUUAGUCUCCUUUAAUCUGAAACAGUUCUUUAGGCUUUCUUUUUCUCGGCCUUGACAUUUUAAAAAUUAACUUUAUUGAGUUUUACUUUUCAUGCAAUAAAAUGCACUCACUUUAAGUCAUGAAGAAUAUGACUUUUAACAUCUAUCUAUACAUAUAUAUAUCUUACACAGUAUGAAAUCAAGAUAUAGAAUAUUUUCAUCAUCUCUAAAAGUUCCUUUCUGUACUUCACCCACUUUGCCCCAGGCAACUAGUGAUAUGCUUUCUAUCACUGCAAAUUAGUUUACCUUAGUCUAGAAUUUAAUGCAUCAUGUACUCUUCUGUAUCUGGCUUAUUUUUACUCAGCAUGUUUUUGAGUUUUAUCUAUGCUUUUGUGUAUCAGUAUUUCAUUCUUUUUCUUACUAGGUAGUAUUCUAUUGUACAGAUAUACCACAAUUUGUUUCUUCAUCCACCUGUGGACAUGUGAUGUGUUUCCAUUUAUUGGCUACUGUGAAUAAAGGUGCCAUGAACAUUUGUGUGCAAGUAUCUGUGUGGACAUAUUUUAAUUUCUUUUUAGUAAAUACCUGGGAGUCUGAUUGCUGGGCCAUCUGUUCUGGAGACUGGGAAUUCCAAGACCAAAGUGCUAACAAAUUCAGUACUUGGUGAAGGCCUGCUUCGUGCUUCACAUAUGGCCGUCUUUGCUGUGUUUUCUAGUGGAGGAAGAGGCAAGGAAGCUCUCUAGGAUAUCUUUUAUAAGGACAUUAAUCCCAUUCAUGAGGGCACGACCCUCAUGACCUAAUCACCUCCCAAAGUCUCUAUCUCCAAAUAGCAUCACACUGUGGAUAAAGUUUCAACAAAUGCAUUUUUUGGGGGCAUAAAUAUUCAGUAUAUAGCAGUAGAGAAGAGUUUUUCAGUGUCCAUAGAAAUGAAAUUCUAUCAUUAAAGAAUUUUAAUAAAUUUAUAACUCAAGAUUAGAGUUUCUUAUUUGAAUAGAGUGAGUAGGAUGUGGUGAUGAUCUCAUCUCAGCAUGAAACAGGAAAGGUUGAAGCAUCAAAAAUGAUUAAAAAA